GCCUUCAUAGUGUAAUGGUCAGCACACUCGGCGAGUAUUCGAGAGGUCCGAGGUUCGAUUCCUGGCGAGGGCA